UUGUGGUUUUAACAGCAGUACCCAUAUACAUUGCAUCACAACUAAAACCAGCCUGCGAACGAAAUAUCAAAAUCUCAACUCUCUCUCACUUUCUCUCUCUAGAAAAUCACGGAUGGUACCCAAGGCAGAGAAGAAACCAUCGCCGGAGACUAGAAGAAGAAGAAGAGGUCGAAGAAGAGCAUCCAGACCGCCGUCAGCCUUUUGCUUCCCAGUGAAUUGGCCAAGCACGCCGUGUCUGAGGGCACAAAGCCGGUGACCGAGUCUACCAGCUCUUCAAGGUUAUCAAUUGCUUCUAUCUCUGCCUAUCUAGGGUUAGGGUUUUAGAAUUAGUUUACUAUUAGGAUUUAGAAUUGAAUUUCUCAAGUUUCAUUUCUGUAGAGCUUAUGGUUUAAGUAGGAUUGAGUUCAUCAAUUUACCACCUAAAGACAAUUUUAAGUGAAUAUACUACGCAGUAUUUAUUGCCCUGUGAAUUUAGAUGAUAAUCAGUGUGCUUUUCAUCUCUUAUUUAUUUAUUUAUUUUGACAUUUAGGCAUGUCAGUGUUGCAAUUUGAUUUACUUGGUAAUUAAAUGGGUAACAUCUUUAGUUUUACAAAAUCCAAUUUCUCUUAAAAUAUUUACAAACUAAAUAAUUUUGGGUCUUCCUUAUUCCUCCUAUAUAUACAAAAAGGUUAAUAUAAUUUUUAAUUAAAAUACAGUAACACUCUCUCAAACCCAUUUCAGACUUCAGAAAUGCAACCCCUCCUAUCUCUAUAUAUACACGUACAGUUAGCUUCACCCUCUCUCUACAUGGCAUGAUAAGCAAAACCCAGUUCGGACCUUCUUGAAUUUCAAUCUUUGCUGACCAAGCAUCUGAAUCCAUCGUCCGCAUUCCUUCUUUUGUCCCUUUAGUGCUCUGUUUUUGUAUUAAAAAAAAAAAAAAAAAUCUAUCUUGGAUUGCUAGUUUAGAGCUCUGUUCUUGUUUUGUAAAGUUGAUUGCUCUCUGAAAAUUCUUGGUGAUUCGGAGCUCUAUUAUUGUUUGUGUUUGAUUGAUCCAAGUUGCAAGGAUGGGAAGGGUCUUUCUUAUUCAAUACGAUCUAACUCCAGACUCAGAGUUCUUUCUCUGUCGUUUUUGCCAAGCCCACAUUGCUCGCCUGGACAAGAUAAACAGUGAAGCCAUUUUCCUAAGCAAUUAGCUUUUGUGGCAACUAUGUGUGCGAUAUAGGGCCAAUGUUCUAAUUGAUGGCCCAGAACGUUACCGAAUUGAAGAGGCUGACGUAGUAGCCAAUGUUCACUGUACUGGAUGCAAUGCCCUUCUGGGCAUAAAAUAUAUUGAAGUGCAAAACAACGAUGGACUUGUCGAAGCUGAAAGUUUUAAACUGCAUUUGAACAAUCUCCUUUGGUGGGAUGGAAAUGUGUUCCACAGCUACCCCAACCAGAUUCAAGCACACAGAUUGGUUACUGCACAUGAUGACGGGAUAUGAAAUAUUAGAGAGGAUACAAAUCCAAUUGAAGAAGGGCUUUAUUGAAGUUCAUUGAAUAUGACAUGACAUACUCUAUAUUUGUCCAAUUUCUUUUUUCUUGGAAGUGAGAUGUGAAAAAUUCUUGUUGUGGAUAGAAUAGCAUGGGAUUGAACUGUACAGUCCGAAACUCCGAAUUGAAACAAAUGGGUUAAGGAUUUUAAAUCCGAAGGAAGUUACAUAAUUCAAAUGCAUACAUCUUCGUUGCUCUGUAAUUUACUUAUCGCAGCAGGUUGGGCAGGGAAGGCCUUUUUUUCAGCUUGUGUUGUCUUAAAUUUCUGUUAAUAUUGCUUUAUGAAGAAGAAAAGGUUCGAUUCAAGUUACGUUUCA